rnacentral:rRNA from 1 species
UGGGGAAUAUUGGACAAUGGGCGAAAGUCUGAUCCAGCCAUGCCGCGUGUGUGAAGAAGGUCUUCGGAUUGUAAAGCACUUUAAGUUGGGAGGAAGGGCAGUAAGCGAAUACCUUGCUGCUUUGACGUUACCGACAGAAUAAGCACCGGCUAACUCUGUGCCAGCAGCCGCGGUAAUACAGAGGGUGCAAGCGUUAAUCGGAAUUACUGGGCGUAAAGCGCGCGUAGGUGGUUCGUUAAGUUGAAUGUGAAAGCCCCGGGCUCAACCUGGGAACUGCAUCCAAAACUGGCGAGCUAGAGUAGGGCAGAGGGUGGUGGAACUUCCUGUGUAGCGGUGAAAUGCGUAGAUAUAGGAAGGAACACCAGUGGCGAAGGCGACCACCUGGGCUCAUACUGACACUGAGGUGCGAAAGCGUGAGGAGCAAACAGG